UACGUAGGGCGCAAGCGUUGUCCGGAAUUAUUGGGCGUAAAGAGCUCGUAGGUGGCGUGUCGCGUCUGCCGUGAAAGCCCAUGGCUUAACUGUGGGUCUGCGGUGGAUACGGGCAGGCUGGAGGCUGGUAGGGGCAAGCGGAAUUCCUGGUGUAGCGGUGAAAUGCGCAGAUAUCAGGAGGAACACCGGUGGCGAAGGCGGCUAUCUGGACAGAGUCUGACGCUGAGGCGCGAAAGCUAGGGGAGCAAACAGG
rnacentral:rRNA from 1 species